AUGGUAGAAAGAAGGAGACUACUGUUGAUCCCUGCAAUUAGUCUCACCAUUGGCUCCCUUCAGUACAGUCUGGAGAAGGGAGCAGCAAAAGCUGAAUUUACUGACAUGCCAGCGCUUCGUGGGAAGGAUUAUGGAAAGACGAAAAUGAGUUAUCCAGAUUACACUGAAACAGAAUCAGGCCUCCAAUACAAGGAAUUACAGGACUUGCGAGUUGGAGAGGGCCCAUCCCCAAAGAAGGGAGAGACAGUAGUGAUUGAUUGGGAUGGGUACACAAUUGGAUACUACGGUCGCAUUUUUGAAGCUCGAAACAAGACCAAAGGUGGUUCUUUCGAGGUAAUACCAGCCUUUGAGGAGGCUAUGACAGGCAUGCGUCCCGGUGGAGUUAGAAGGAUAAUAGUACCACCGGAUAUUGGAUACCCAGAUAAUGACUUGAACAAGUUAGGCCCAAAACCGACAACAUUUUCGGGACAAAGAGCUCUAGAUUUCGUUCUAAGGAAUCAAGGAUUAAUAGACAAAACUCUCCUGUUUGACAUUGAGCUUAUCAGGAUAAUUCCGAGUCAAUAG
rnacentral:rRNA from 1 species